GAUGAACGCUAGCGACAGGCCUAACACAUGCAAGUCGAGGGGUAACAGGGGCUUCGGCCCGCUGACGACCGGCGCACGGGUGAGUAACACGUGGGUAACCUGCCCAUAAGAGGGGGAUAACAUCCGGAAACGGGUGCUAAUACCGCAUAGGUUUCUUGGUCGCAUGAUCGAGAAAGGAAAGACGGCCUUUGNGCUGUCGCUUAUGGAUGGACCCGCGGCGUAUUAGUUAGUUGGUGAGGUAAUGGCUCACCAAGACGAUGAUACGUAGCCGACCUGAGAGGGUGAUCGGCCACAUU
rnacentral:rRNA from 1 species